AGAGUUUGAUCCUGGCUCAGGACGAACGCUGGCGGCGUGCUUAACACAUGCAAGUCGAACGGAGCACCCUUGAUUGAGGUUUCGGCCAAAUGAUAGGAAUGCCUAGUGGCGGACUGGUGAGUAACGCGUGAGGAACCUGCCUUUCAGAGGGGGACAACAGUUGGAAACGACUGCUAAUACCGCAUGACGCAUUUUGAUCGCAUGGUCGAAAUGCCAAAGAUUUAUCGCUGAGAGAUGGCCUCGCGUCUGAUUAGCUAGUUGGUGAGGUAACGGCCCACCAAGGCGACGAUCGGUAGCCGGACUGAGAGGUUGACCGGCCACAUUGGGACUGAGAUACGGCCCAGACUCCUACGGGAGGCAGCAGUGGGGAAUAUUGGGCAAUGGGCGCAAGCCUGACCCAGCAACGCCGCGUGAAGGAAGAAGGCUUUCGGGUUGUAAACUUCUUUUAAGUGGGAAGAGUAGAAGACGGUACCACUUGAAUAAGCCACGGCUAACUACGUGCCAGCAGCCGCGGUAAUACGUAGGUGGCAAGCGUUGUCCGGAUUUACUGGGUGUAAAGGGCGUGCAGCCGGGCAUGCAAGUCAGAUGUGAAAUCUCAGGGCUUAACCCUGAAACUGCAUUUGAAACUGUAUGUCUUGAGUGCCGGAGAGGUAAUCGGAAUUCCUUGUGUAGCGGUGAAAUGCGUAGAUAUAAGGAAGAACACCAGUGGCGAAGGCGGAUUACUGGACGGUAACUGACGGUGAGGCGCGAAAGCGUGGGGAGCGAACAGGAUUAGAUACCCUGGUAGUCCACGCUGUAAACGAUGGAUACUAGGUGUGCGGGGACUGACCCCCUGCGUGCCGCAGUUAACACAAUAAGUAUCCCACCUGGGGAGUACGAUCGCAAGGUUGAAACUCAAAGGAAUUGACGGGGGCCCGCACAAGCGGUGGAUUAUGUGGUUUAAUUCGAAGCAACGCGAAGAACCUUACCAGGUCUUGACAUCCUGCUAACGAAGUAGAGAUACAUUAGGUGCCCUUCGGGGAAAGCAGAGACAGGUGGUGCAUGGUUGUCGUCAGCUCGUGUCGUGAGAUGUUGGGUUAAGUCCCGCAACGAGCGCAACCCCUAUUGUUAGUUGCUACGCAAGAGCACUCUAGCGAGACUGCCGUUGACAAAACGGAGGAAGGUGGGGACGACGUCAAAUCAUCAUGCCCCUUAUGACCUGGGCUACACACGU
rnacentral:rRNA from 1 species